rnacentral:rRNA from 1 species
ACUCCUACGGGAGGCAGCAGUGGGGAAUAUUGGACAAUGGGCGCAAGCCUGAUCCAGCCAUGCCGCGUGAGUGAUGAAGGCCCUAGGGUUGUAAAGCUCUUUCACCGGUGAAGAUAAUGACGGUAACCGGAGCAGAAGCCCCGGCUAACUUCGUGCCAGCAGCCGCGGUAAUACGAAGGGGGCUAGCGUUGUUCGGAUUUACUGGGCGUAAAGCGCACGUAGGCGGACUAUUAAGUCAGGGGUGAAAUCCCGGGGCUCAACCCCGGAACUGCCUUUGAUACUGGUAGUCUUGAGUUCGAGAGAGGUGAGUGGAAUUCCGAGUGUAGAGGUGAAAUUCGUAGAUAUUCGGAGGAACACCAGUGGCGAAGGCGGCUCACUGGCUCGAUACUGACGCUGAGGUGCGAAAGCGUGGGGAGCAAACAGGAUUAGAUACCCCUGUAGUCCCAUGA